rnacentral:rRNA from 1 species
CUUAGAGAGCUUGCUUUUUAAGCUUAGUGGCGAACGGGUGAGUAACGCGUGAGUAACCUGCCCUGGAGUGGGGGACAACAGUUGGAAACGACUGCUAAUACCGCAUAAGCCCACGGCUCGGCAUCGAGCAGGGGGAAAAGGAGCAAUCCGCUUUGAGAUGGCCUCGCGUCCGAUUAGCUAGUUGGUGAGGUAACGGCCCACCAAGGCGACGAUCAGUAGCCGGUCUGAGAGGAUGAACGGCCACACUGGAACUGAGACACGGUCCAGACUCC